CCGUCCUGCCCCGCGCUCUAGCGUUCCCCGAAGGAAAGUCCCAGUUGCCCGCCACCAGCCCCACCUCCAGGAGCGGCGGAGAAGCAGAGACUUUCCAAUCGAGCCGACCUAAACCUUCCUGGCUUUGCUCCUAGCUCGCUGUGUGACUUUGUUGAUGCCCUGGUGGAGCGGAAGCGGGGUCAAUACCUCCACUGGCCAGCAGAGGACAGGCGAUGACCAGCCUUCUCGCCCAGUUGCGCAUCCUCUCCGCCGGCAGGCGCCACGAGGGCAACAGGACGGGAUACAACUGCAGAAGCAACAAGUGAACCUUUAAAGAUGCAUAUGGGGCUGCACAAAGAGAAGAGAGGAACUGGAGAAACCAAGGAAGUAAGGAAAAAGUAUGUUUCCUGGGUUUAAUAGGGAAAACUUGCUUUCUGCAAAGAACUGAAAAAGCCGCCCUUGGAAGCUGUUUCUUUGGGCCUCAUGGAGCAGCUGGAACCUGCGCUGUGAGGCCCCCGACAGGACGAACUGUCGCCCACUGACCCCCCAGCGUGGCUGUCACCAUGGCCAGCAAGAGGAAGUCCACCACCCCGUGCAUGAUCCCCGUGAAGACCGUGGUGCUGCAGGACACCGGCGCCGAGGCCCUGCCCGAGGAGCCCGUGCCCGAGGGGCCCCCGCAGGAGCCGCCCCCAGAAGCUCCCACCGCCAGCGGCGAGGCCACCCAGGGCACCAGCGGUCCCGACAGUGCCGCACUGGCCAACGGGCACCGGAGCACCUUGGACGGCUACACAUAUGCCUGUAAAUGCUGUGACUUCAGAUCCCAGGACAUAACCCGGUUUGUGGGACACCUGAGCUCAGAGCACACAGACUUUAGCAAAGACCCGAACUUUGUAUGCACUGAAUGCAGUUUUCUGGCAAAAACUCCCGAGGGGCUUUCUCUGCACAAUGCCAAGUGUCACUCGGGGGAAGCCAGCUUUGUGUGGAAUGUGGCCAAGCCAGACAAUCAUGUCGUCGUGGAGCAGAGUGUCCCCGAGAGCACCAGCCCUCCCGACCCAUCGGGGGAGCCAAACAUGGAAGGGACAGAUGGACAGGCGGAAAUCAUCAUCACCAAAACUCCAAUCAUGAAGAUAAUGAAAGGCAAAGCCGAAGCCAAAAAAAUUCACACGCUCAAGGAGAACGUCCCCAGUCAGCCUGCUGGGGAGGCCUUACCGACCCCUUCAGCCGGGGACACGGAGGUGAAAGAGGGGGACCACGCCUUUGUCAACGGGGCAGCCCCGGUCAGCCAGGCCUCUACCAACUCCCCAAAACCCCCUCACUCGGCCAACGGGCCCCUGCUGGGGACGGUGCCGGUGCUGCCCGCGGGCAUCGCCCAGUUCCUCUCCCUGCAGCAGCCGCCCCCGCACGCCCAGCACCACGCCCACCAGCCCCUGCCCACGGCCAAGUCCCUCCCCAAAGUGAUGAUCCCGCUGAGCAGCAUCCCCACGUACAACGCGGCCAUGGACUCCAACAGCUUUCUGAAGAACUCCUUCCACAAGUUCCCCUACCCAACCAAAGCCGAGCUCUGCUAUUUGACCGUGGUCACCAAGUACCCGGAAGAGCAGCUCAAGAUCUGGUUCACCGCCCAGAGGCUGAAGCAAGGUAUCAGCUGGUCCCCGGAGGAGAUUGAGGACGCCCGGAAGAAGAUGUUCAACACGGUCAUCCAGUCCGUCCCCCAGCCCACAAUCACUGUCCUCAACACCCCGCUGGUUGCCAGUGGCGGCAACGUCCAACAUCUCAUCCAGCCCACUCUGCCUGGCCACGUGGUGGGCCAGCCAGAGGGCACAGCCGGGGGACUUCUGGUCACUCAGCCACUGAUGGCCAAUGGGUUGCAGGCACCCAGCUCAUCUCUCCCCCUGGCAGUCACAUCUGUCCCCAAGCUGCCCGCUGUCGCGCCCAUUAACACCGUGUGUUCAAAUACAACGUCCGCCGUGAAGGUGGUGAAUGCCGCCCAGUCCCUCCUCACGGCGUGUCCCAGCAUCACCUCCCAAGCCUUCCUGGAUGCCAGCAUCUACAAAAACAAGAAAUCUCAUGAACAGCUGUCAGCUCUGAAAGGGAGCUUCUGUCGGAACCAGUUCCCAGGACAGAGCGAAGUUGAGCAUCUGACCAAAGUGACCGGCCUCAGCACCCGUGAGGUGCGGAAGUGGUUCAGUGACCGUAGGUACCACUGCCGGAACCUGAAGGGCUCCAGGGCCGGGCUGGCCGGGGAGCAUGGCGCCCUCCUCGUCGACUCUGUGCCCGAGGUGCCCUUCUCCCUGGCGUCCAAGGCCCCAGAGGUGACCUGCCUCCUGACAGCGGCCACCCCAGCUACCCCCCCUUCUGCCAAGCGACAGUCCUGGCACCAGACCCCCGACUUCACACCAACCAAAUACAAGGAGCGGGCCCCCGAGCAGCUCAGGGCCCUGGAGAACAGUUUUGCCCAAAACCCCCUUCCUCUCGACGAGGAACUGGACCGCCUGAGGACCGAGACCAAAAUGACCCGCAGGGAGAUUGAUGGCUGGUUUUCAGAGAGACGGAAAAAAGUGAGUGCCGAGGAGGCCAAGAAGGCUGAGGAGGGCGCCUCUCAGGGGGAGGAGGAGGCCGCCGAGGAUGAGGGGGAGGAGGGCUCUGCCAGGGACCCGAGGGUCCCAGGGGAAGAUGGCUCCCCAGAAACGCCCGGCAGCCACGUGCUGGCAGAACGCAAAGUCAGCCCCAUCAAAAUCAACCUCAAGAACCUGCGAGUCACGGAGGCCAACGGCAAGGGCGAGCUCCCGGGGCUGGGCGCCUGUGAGCCCGAGGACGACGUGCCCAGCAAGCCAGCGGAGCAGCUGCCGGGCAAGGUGAGCUACAGGAAGACGGCCCAGCAGCGGCACCUGCUGCGGCAGCUCUUCCUGCAGACGCAGUGGCCCAGCAACCAGGACUACGACUCCAUCAUGGCCCAGACGGGCCUGCCGCGGCCCGAGGUGGUGCGCUGGUUUGGGGACAGCAGGUACGCCCUGAAGAAUGGCCAGCUCAAGUGGUACGAAGACUACAGACGGGGCAGCUUCCCCCCCGGGCUGCUGGUCAUCAGCCCCAGCAACCGGGAGCUGCUGCAAGACUAUUACGUGACCCACAAGAUGCUGUACGAGCAGGACCUGCAGAGCCUCUGCGACAAAACCCAGAUGAGCGCCCAGCAGGUCAAGCAGUGGUUUGCCGAGAGGAUGGGUGAGGAGACCCGGGCCGUGGCCGACACGGGUGGUGAGGGCCAGGGCCCCAGCGACCCUGCAGCAGUUCACAAAGGGAUGGGCGACACCUAUUCAGAGGUGUCCGAAAACAGUGAGUCAUGGGAACCCGGUGCCCCUGAGGCCAGCUCAGAGCCCGUUGACACGCCGAGUCCCCAGGCUGGACCUCAGCUGGGUAAGGAGCCUGUGGGGCUGUGCCGUCCUCUGUGGGUCUGGGGGGCACCUGUGGCAGGCACCGAAUCCAGUGCCGGGGCAUCUGCUGUUUCUAAGGCUGUCUGGCAGCAGGACCGUGUUGUCUGGCUGCUUCGGGGGGCACCUGGCAGCAGAAUCCAUUGGAGCAUCAUCAUAUGAUAAAGGCUUGACACUUGGUUUUUUUGUUUCGUGUUUGUUAAACCUGCACAGGGGAAGGAGUGUAGUGAACCUCCAAGGGCCCACCCUUUUCUAGUCAUUUCUUAGCCAAAGGAGAAUAGGUCAGAAUGUCAUCUGAGCCAGAUAGAACCACGACCGCUGGGUAAGAGAGAGAAUAGGACUUACGAGGAAAUUCAACCCCAGUUGGUGAACAAAAGCAGAGGGAGCCUUUAAUUGACCUUAGAUACACAAAGUGCUUUUUUUUCUAAAUGAUGAAAAAUCCUGUAAUUUGCAUUGCAGUUAUUCUUCCUGAUAUAGAGGUAGUGGAAAAUCUUCUUCCCUCUUAGACAUAACAUGGAAUCGAAUGCUUGAAUUUUGUUCCUCAUUUUCUCUGGAUCAGGACAGUAGUACUUGAAAGAAAGCUUUAGAAGAUUAUUUUACUGAAGACAGUUUGAAGCCUCAGACAAAUCACGUUAUUGGGUGUUGAUUUUCUUGGGUCUUGAUCUCUGAGUUCCUGGCCUCUCCCUUCCCUCCCACCCUCCUCUUGGGUGGCCUUGUCACAGGUUGGCCAGGAGCGAGGUAGCUGAGCUCUUCACGGGAAGCUGUGGAAACCAAGGAAGUAUCUGGAUUCCCAGAUUCCCUGAUUUGGGACCUUUAGAAGGUGGUUCCAGGGCCGGCGUUUCUGGACUCGACCUUGUUUCCUCCAAGCCCCUAAACUGACUGAACCGGAACCGACGGCUGUGAAGGCCUGGCCGGGGCGGCCGCCCUCCACAUGGAAGGGCCUGACCCCCCUCUGCUGCCCCGGGCCGCCGCCGUACCCGGCCCGCCAUGCUCACACAGGUCUCCACGCGGCCAAGCCUGCCGCCGUCCGCACCUGGCCCGCCACCCCAGCGAGCAGGGAGGAGCGUCUGGCAGUUCUUCCGCCCACAAUGUAGGACCUUUCUUUUGCCUUCCAGUGGAUAAAUAGUUCAGAUUUCAUAUUCAUAGACACAGAAUCAAGUUUUUAACAUAUAAAUCUGCCUAUACACAUUUAAUAAAACAUCAGAUUAUAAACACUUUCAUUACAUAGAAACUUUGGUUAGCAAAGCAGUACGUGGUCUUUUAUAUCAUCUCUGGAAAUGCCCUGUGUCUGUUCUCUGGAGAUCGCUGGGCUGCGUGUUCCCGCACCUUCCAUGGUCAGGCCGGGGUUAUCACACGCUCAGAACCACACCUGCAACCGCUGGGGCCCCCUUUGCGCUCCUUCGGGAAGGUGGUACCUUUGAAGAGACCUCUGCUCCUUAAGCGGUGACCAGCAACAUUGCAUAGCAGGUUUGCCUUGCCUUACGGGAUGAUAGUGCAGAACAUGCUGUUACCCGCAGUUCAGAAAACUGACCGGUUAUGUGAUUAGUGUUUGAUGCUUACCACUCUCGUAAGUUGUUACAGUAAUUCUGCUUUUUCAUGGGAGUUUGAAUCAUGGACCAUAACUCUUCAGUGAUCAGAUCAACUAAAGAAACAUUUGUUGUUAAGCCUAAUGUACUGCCCUAUGUGCCGCCUUUUUUUUUUU